AGUGGCGUACGGGUGAGUAACACGUGACUAACCUACCCUCGAGUGGGGAAUAACCUCGGGUAACCGGAGCUAACACCGCAUAACAUCUAUGGAUCAAAUGCGCAAGCAGCUUGAGGAGGGGGUCGCGGCUGAUUAGCUAGUUGGCGGGGUAAUGGCCCACCAAGGCAGUGAUCAGUAGCCGGCCUGAGAGGGCGCACGGCCACACUGGAACUGAAACACGGUCCAGACUCCUACGGGAGGCAGCAGUGGGGAAUUUUGCGCAAUGGGGGAGACCCUGACGCAGCAACGCCGCGUGGAGGAUGAAGCCCCUUGGGGUGUAAACUCCUUUCGAUCGGGACGAUUAUGACGGUACCGGAUGAAGAAGCACCGGCUAACUCUGUGCCAGCAGCCGCGGUAAUACAGAGGGUGCAAGCGUUGUUCGGAAUUAUUGGGCGUAAAGGGUGCGUAGGCGGUGCGGUAAGUCUUCUGUGAAACCUCCGGGCUUAACUCGGAGCCUGCAGAGGA
rnacentral:rRNA from 1 species